GGACUAUUGAAGUUUUAAGAAGUUUUGACUUCACUAACAUAGACUUUCAUCUGGUGGUACACAUCAUCAGUUUUAUCUUCUUUCAUAUGAGGGAAGGAGCCAUCCUCAUCUUUGUCCCAGGUUGGGAGGACAUUAAGAAUCUUCACUCUCUCAUACAACGCACACUUGGAAUUAGUUCUAGAUUUUUCAAAAUUAUCCCCCUUCAUUCUCAAAUGCCAACUGCAAAUCAGAGAGAUGUUUUUGAGAAGCCACCACCUGGAGUUCGUAAAAUUAUUAUAGCUACAAAUAUUGCAGAGACCAGGUAACACUUGAAAUGUGAUGAUGAAAAUGUAAAGGGGAAACCAUUAUUGGGACAUCAUGUGUUUGGGAACUCAUGUGU
rnacentral:sRNA from 1 species